CAAACGCCUCCCAAACCCUAGCCCCCGUUUCCCUCGAUCCCCACAGUAACCGCACCAAACCCUAUCCCCCCAUCCACAGCCACCCGCUCCUUAUCACAGCCGCCGCACCAUUCCUCCCUUCCGCCCCCUCCUCCUUCCCGAAUCCCCACCACGGCGCCGACUUGCAGGCAAAGGGCGACGAAGAGUGGCAGACGAGGACAACGAGGGAGAGAAAUAAGGGAGAUAAAAAGGAGGUCGGUGGCGAGGCCCAGCGACUAGCACCUCUCCGCCUCAAGCCCCGGCAUCACCGCCACCAGAUAAAGGGCGGUGGCGGCGGCGCUCGAGCAGAUGAGAGGGAUUGAGAGGUAGGUGUAGCAAGGCGACGGACAAGAGAGGGGCGAGGCCGAGCUCCAGCGCGAGCGCGCGGACCCAUCAGCCAUGCCAGCGAGGUCCUCGGCCCCGAGCUGCGCCUCUACAGCCGCAAAGGUGACUGAUGCGACCACGCUCGGUUUUGCUCAGUGCGCACACACACUGUGCCGUCUCCAGGUGCCAGUUGAACUUACUGUUGGGCUUUAUUGCCCUCCUCUGAUCUGGUGUUGUGGGAGAAAGAAGAAGAGCAGGCAUGUUCUCUAUUUCUACAUCCAGCGUCCACAUGUCUAGAUCGACGGGUCUAAACUCUUGAUGUAGCACAUUAUGUGUAUGAAUCAACAUGAAUCAUGGUGAAUGUCAAGCCUACUUAGUUCAUACCCAAGUAAGAUGUUGAAGUAUGGCCUUGAAAGGUAAGUUGGAUGGUUGGAGUUGCUCAAAAGAUAUAACAAAGAGAGAAGAUAAGAGGGGGAGAGAGAAGGAGAAGAGGGAGUGCUCGAUUCGAUCUGCACGAGAGAGAGAAGAUAAGAGGGAGAGAGAGAAGGAAGGAGAGGAGGGAGAACUAUGUUGCCGCCGUGUGCCGUACUUCUGGAUCGAGCGCUGCCUGACCAAGGGAUAAGAGUAGAAGGUAAAAACCCUAGCCACAAUGCUCCCACUGCGGGCUGCAUCCCUGCAUCUCCCGUUUCAUUAUUUCACCAUCGCUGCCUCUUCUCCUCUUUGUUGCUCUGCUUCUUCCCCUGAUUCCUAUUUUUCAUUUUUUUCUCUUUGUGGCGCCGCCGAGGAUGAGUGGAGCAGCUGCUGAAUCAGGCACUGGUGCGCUGCUGGCGAAGCGGUGGUAAACGGUGUCGUCGACGUCGUCGUUGGCAGAAUUUAUCCCCAUUGGCUUGCCGAUAUGCUCCUGCUGGGUUGUUCUUGUUUAUUUCUCUAUCCAACAUCAUUGCAGUUGCUGACCAUAUGAUUGGUAGCCUUGGACAGAAGAGGGCCAGCAACAAACAGAAGCAACCACAGUCCUGUCCAGAACAUAUACCGGAGGAGGUGACGGAGCUGCAAACUUCACACAGUUAAACUCCGACUACUCCAAACCAGGCAAGC